UAUUAGGACACUAUAUAUAAUCUUAAUAAAGAUAAAGAACACAAAACUACAAGAAUCAGAUGUAAAAAAAGGGAUGAUUUCCAUAUAUCAGACCAUUGGGUUAAAGUAUCAAAUGUAGAUCAACUGCAGUGACCAAUAGUAGAAUUUAUUGAUGACAUCAUCAUUGUAAGUAUGAGUUGGUCAUAAAUUGAGGACUAUAUAUUGUAUAUAAAAUGAAAAAGCUUUUGAAUAAGAAACAGACUCCUAACACAAAGCUGAGAAACAAAUUCUAUGAAAUUGAAACAACUUGUAUAUUUGUCAUUUUCAUAUGGUCUGAGAUAUGUCGUCAUGAUAAGGCCAUUUUGCUGAAAGAGCUAAUUACAAGUUGAGUAGCCUCAGUCCAAAAUGCAUGGGACCAAGAGAGUUUGAUUUUGGAUUUUUUUGGUUUUUGAAUACAAAGUAUACAAUGGAAUUAAAAAGUGAGAAAAAAAAUUCAUAUUUUUUUAUUUGGCAUAAAAACAAGAAUAUAAAUGCAGUAAGCAAUUUAAAUAUAUUUAUUUAUCAUCAUUGGAAGAUUUUAAACAUUUGUUACUCAGAGUUUAUUAUUAAUCUUUUUGAUAUACUUUAACAAUAGAAC
rnacentral:lncRNA from 1 species